rnacentral:rRNA from 1 species
GAUUAACGCUGGCGGCGUGCAUAACACAUGCAAGUCGAACGAUGAAACUUUAAUGAACCCUUCGGGGAGAAUUAAAGCGGAUUAGUGGCGAACGGGUGAGUAACGCGUGAGUAACCUGCCUUACACAAGGGGAUAGCCUUUGGAAACGAAGAAUAAUACCCUAUAAAACCAUAAAAGCACAUGCAAUUAUGGUCAAAGUGAUAGCGGUGUAAGAUGGACUUGCGUCUGAUUAGCUAGUUGGUGAGAUAAAAGCCCACCAAGGCAACGAUCAGUAGCCGGCUUGAGAGAGUGUACGGCCACAUUGGGACUGAGACACGGCCCAGACUCCUACGGGAGGCAGCAGUGGGGAAUUUUGCACAAUGGGGGAAACCCUGAUGCAGCGACGCCGCGUGAUUUAGAAGGCCUUCGGGUUGUAAAAAUCUCUUGUAUAGGAAGAAAAUGACAGUACUAUACGAAUAAGGUCCGGCUAAUUACGUG